rnacentral:lncRNA from 1 species
AGAGCAUGUGAGAUACAGGACUACAGGACAGGAAAAAAAGGACUCUGCUAAGGCCAUGAAGCCCAGGAACUUUCUCCACAUUCUCUAAUCUUUACACAGUCCUAAAGGAUGCCUUUGGAUAAUUUCUGCUUGCUAAAGAGGCGGGGCCUUAGUCCUCAUCGGCCGAUGGUUUGGAGACUGAAUCAACUAUCUGUUACUUCUCAGAAGUGAAUGUCAACUUCCUGAUGUUUAUACUCAAGGAGAAUGAGGUUUGGAGAUCUGAGUAGUUUACUGAAGGCACUCACAUUGAAAGAUUUUAUGAAGCUGAAAUUCAAAUCUAGAUGUGCCCCAUCCAAAGACCACCCUCUUUAUACAGCAACAUGCUGCUUCCCCUGGAUCAAGAAACACAAGGAGCCUUCAUCUACCACAUAAGAAUUGCAGCAAACCCUGCAGCUAUCCUGAAGCUGCCAUGCUGAAAAGGCCAAUUGGGAGACCACAUAGAGACCGAGAGAGACUUCCAAGGACUCCAGCCAAUCCUGGGCCCCAGCAGUUUGAAUCUCCCAGCAAUGCCACCAUACAGGAGAGGGAGCAAAUACUCAGAAGAUUCAAGUGCCAGCUGCAUGGGUUGAUACCUACAUAAAAGGCAUUGGCAUUAUUCACAAGAGCCAAGAUAUGGAAAUAACCUGUGUCCAUUGACAGACGAAUAGAUGAGGGAAACGUGGCAUAUACACACAGUGGAAUAUUAUUCGGAAUUAAAAAAAGAAGGAAAUCCUGAAUCCUGCUAUUUCUGACAACAUGAGACUGCAGGACGUUAUGAAAAUGGCCACAUCAUGCUCUUCUAGAACUUUCUCAUCCCUCAGUCAAGAGGUGGAGCCUAUUUACCCUUGACCUUGAAAUUGAUCAGGACUUUGUCACUGCCUUGCUCUUAACAUCACCAUGCUGGAGAAAUAGCAUGGCAAGGCCAGCUGGUGAUAGAGAAAGAUGCCUAAGGAGCUCCAGCUGCUAUUUUCCCUGGAUUUUUGAGUCUUCCCAGUCCAGCCAGACAUAUGACUGGGCAAAACCCUCAGACUCAGCCCACCUGCACCCAGGUGAAAUAAACAGCCAUGUUGCCCACACAAAGCCUGUUUGGUGGUCUCUUCACACGGACGCUCAUGGAAUUUGGUGCCGUGACUCAGAUCGGGGGACCUCCCUUGGGAGAUCAAUCCCCCUUCCUCCUGCCCUUUGCUCUGUGAAAAAGAUCCACCUAUGACCUCAGGUUCUCUGACUGACCAGCCCAAGAAACAUCUCACCAAUUUCAAAUCCGAUCUUCUCAGCUUAGCGGCUGAAGACUGAUGCUGCCCGAUCGCCUCGGAAGCCCCGUAGACCAUCACGGACGCCGAGCUUUAGGUAACUCUCACAGUGAAGGGUAAGUCCGUCCCCUUCUUAAUCAACACGGAGGCUACCCACUCCAACAUUACCUUCUUUUCAAGGGCCUGUUUCCCUUGCCUCCAUAACUGUUGUGGGAAUGACAGCCAGGCUUCUACACCUCUAAAACUCCCCAACUGUGGUGCCAACUUAGACAAUACUCUUAUGCACUCUUUUUUAGUUAUCCCCACCUGCCCAAUUCCCUUAUUAGGCUGAGACACUUUAACUAAAUUAUCUUCCCUGACUAUUCCUGGACUAUAGCAGCAUCUCAUUGCUGCCCUUCUUCCCAAUCCAAAGCCUUCUUUGCAUCCUCCUCUUGUAUUCCCCCACCUUAACCCACAAGUAUAAGAUACCUCUACUCCCUCCUUGGCUACCGAUCAUGCACCCCUUACCAUCUCAUUAAAACCUAAUCACCCUUUCCCCGUUCAAUGCCAAUAUCCCAUCCCACAGCAUGCUUUGAAAGGAUUAAAGCCUGUUAUCACUUGCCUGCUACAGCAUGGGCUUCUAAGACCUAUAAACUCUCCUUAACCAUUCCCCCAUUUUACCUGUCCUAAAACCAGACAAGCCUUACAAGUUAGUUCAGGAUCUGCGCCUUAUCAACCAAAUUGUUUUACCUAUCCACCCUGUGGUGCCAAACCCAUAUACUCUCCUAUCCUCAAUACCUGCCUCUACAACCCAUUAUUCUGUUCUAGAUCUCAAACAUGCUUUCUUUACUAUUCCUUUGCACCCUUCAUCCCAGCCUCUCUUCGCUUUCACUUGGACUGACCCUGACACCCAUCAAGCUCAGCAAAUUACCUAGGCUGUACUGCCGCAAAGCUUCACAGACAGCCCCCAUUACUUCAAUCAAGCCCAAAUUUCUUCCUCAUCUGUUACCUAUCUUGGCAUAAUUCUCAUAAAAACACACGUGCUCUCCCUGCCAGUCAUGUCCGACUAAUCUCCCAAACCCCAGCACCUUCUACAAAACAACUCCUUUCCUUCCUAGGCAUGGUUAGUGCGGUCAGAAUUUUUACACAAGAGCCAGGACCACACCGUGUAGCCUUUCUGUCCAAACAACUUGACCUUACUGUUUUAGCCUAGCCCUCAUGUCUGCGUGCAGUGGCUGCCACUGCUUUAAUACUUUUAGAGGCCCUCAAAAUCACAAACUAUGCUCAACUCACUCUCUACAUUUCUCAUAACUUCCAAAAUCUAUUUUCUUCCUCAUACCUGACACGUAUACUUUCUGCUCCCUGGCUCCUUCAGCUGUACUCUCUUCGUUAAGUCCCACAAUUACCAUUGUUCCUGGCCCGGACUUCAAUCCCGCCUCCCACAUUAUUCCAGAUACCACACCUGACCGUCAUGACUGUAUCUCUCUGAUCCACCUGAUGUUCAUCCCAUUUCCCCACAUUUCCUUCUUCCCUGUUUCUCACCCUGAUCACGCUUGAUUUAUUGAUGGCAGUUCCACCGGGCCUAAUCACCACACACCAGCAAAGGCAGGCUAUGCUAUAGUACAAACCACUAGCCCGCCUCUUAGAACCUCUCAUUUCCUUUACAUCAUGGAAAUCUAUCCUCAAGGAAAUAACUUCUCAGUGUUCCAUCUGCUAUUCUAUCUGCUAUUCUACUACUCCUCAAGGAUUAUUCAGGCCCCCUCCCUUCCCUACACAUCAAGCUCGAGGAUUUGCCCCCGCCCAGGACUGGCAAAUUAGCUUUACUCAACAUGCCCUGAGUCACAAAAACUAAAAUACCUCUUAGUCUAAGUAGACACUUUCACUAGAUAGGUAGAGGCCUUUCCUACAGGGUCUGAGAAGGCCACCGCAGUCAUUUCUUCCCUUCUGUCAGACAUAAUUCCUCAGUUUAGCCUUCCCACCUCUAUACAGUCUGAUAACAGACCAGCCUUUAUUAGUCAAAUCAGCCAAGCAUUUUAUCAGGCUCUUAGUUUUCAGUGACAGACUAAAGGUCUUUUAAAAACACACCUCACCAAGCUCAGCCACCAACUUAAAAAGGACUGGACAAUACUUUUACCACUUUCCCUUCUGAGAAGUGAGACCUGUCCUCAGAAUGCUACCAGGUACAGCCCAUUUAAGCUCCUGCAUAGAUGCUCCUUUUUAUUAGGCCCCAGUCUCAUUCCAGACGCCAGACCAACUUAGACUGUGCCCCAAAAAACUUGUCAUCCCUACUAUCUUCUGUCUAGUCAUACUCCUAUUCACCGUUCUCAACUACUCAUACAUGCCCUACUCUUGUUUACACUGCUGGUUUACACUGUUUCUCCAAGCCAUCACAGCUGAUAUCUCCUGGUGCUAUCCCCAAACUUCUACUCUUGAAGUAAAUAAAUAAUCUUUGCUGGCAGGACUAUGCUGAAUCUCCUAAGCACUCUCUAAUCAGAUGUCCUAGGUCCUCCCAAUUCUUAAACCAUUUAUACCUGUUUUUCUCCUUCUCUUAUUCCAUUUAGUUUUUCAGUUCAUACAAAACCGUAUCCAGGCCAUCACCAAUCUUUCUGUAUGACAAAUGUUUCUUCUAACAACCCCCUCAAUGUCACCCCUUACCACAAGACCUCCCUUCAGCUUAAUCUCUCCCACUCUAGGUUCCCACGCCGCCCCUAAUCCCGCUUGAAGCAGCACUGAGAAACAUCGCCCAUUCUCUCUCCGCACCACCCCCAAAAAUUUUCGCCACCCCAACACUUCAACACUAUUUUAUUUUUCUUAUUAAUAUAAGAAGGCAGGAAUGUCAGGCCUCUGAGCCCAAGCCAAGCCAUCGCAUCCCCUGUGACUUGCACGUAUAUGCCCAGAUGGCCUGAAGUAACUGAAGAAUCACAAAAGAAGUGAAAAGGCCCUGCCCUGCCUUAACUGAUGACAUUCCACCAUUGUGAUUUGUUCCUGCCCCACCUUAACUGAGUGAUUAACCCUGUGAAUUUCCUUCUCCUGGCUCAGAAGCUCCCCCACUGAGCACCUUGUGACCCCCGCCCCUGCCCACCAGAGAACAACCCCCUUUGGCUGUAAUUUUCCAUUACCUUCCCAAAUCUGAUAAAACAGCCCCACCCCAUCUCCCUUCGCUGACUUUCUUUUCGGACUCAGCCCACCUGCACCCAGGUGAAAUAAACAGCCACGUUGCUCACACAAAGCCUGUUUGGUGAUCUCUUCACACGGGCGCACAUGAAAGUCUCGAUCUCCUAACAUCACGAUCUGCUCACCUCGGUCUUCCAAAGUGCUGGGAUUACAGGUGUGAGCCACCGUGCCCAGCCUAUUUCAUUAAAUUCUUAUCUUACUUUUGUUACUUUUCCUUCUACUUGUUUUGAUUUUAGUUGUACUUAAUGAGAAAAAUAGAAAAAAAUAUAUGUUUAUUCCUUUAAAAAAAUGAGCAAAAGCCAUGAACAGGUGUUUUACAGAAAAAAAUUCAAGGGACUAAUAAUCAUAAAAAAAUCUGCUCAAUAUCACAAAUCUUCAAAAACCACUAACUGAAACAAUUAGACACUGCUAUCUGAAAUGUCAAAUUAAAAAAAGAAAAAAGACAAAAACAAAUGACAAACCUAUCAAGACCAGUGGUGGCGGGAAUGUGGAAUAACUCUGUGUUGCUGGUAGGAAUGUGAAUUUGCACAGGUAAUUUAGAAAACUGGCCAGGCAUGGUGGCUCAUGCCUGUAAUCCCAGCACUUUGGGAGGCUGAGGCGGGCUGAUCAUGAGCUUAAGAGAUGGAGACCACCCUGGCCAACGUGGUGAAACCCCGUCUCUACUAAAAAUACAAAAAUUAGCUGGGCGUGGUGGUGCAUGCCUGUAGUCCCAGCUACAAGGGAGGCUGAGGCAGGAGGAUCGUUUGAACCUGGGAGGCAGAAGUUGCAGUGAGCAGAGAUCAAGCCAUUGUACUCCAGCCUGGUGACAGAGGGAGACUCCGUCUCAAAACACAAACAAACAAACAAACAACAACUACAACAACAAAAAACCUUGUGGUACUAUCUACUGAAGCUAAACAUAGGCAUACCUGAUGUUUGAGCAAUUUCCCUUUUAGAAAUUUGCCCCAAGGAAAUGCAUACACAUGUACACCAAAAAAAGUGGCACAAGGACACUCUUAGAAACAUUUUUCAUAAUAGCUUCAAAUUGGAAACAACACACAUAACCUCCCAGGAUACAAUACAUUCGUUGUUGUAAAAUCACACAAAGUAAUACUAUGGUGUAACAACCAAGUUUUAACUAUUGCUAUGUGAGCCAUCAAGAAUAAAACUAACAGAGUGUUGAGUAAAAGAGUACUACUAACUCAAGUGAGUACAUAGAGUACAACUUCAUUUACAUGAAGUUUCAGAAAUGGCCAAAGCUAACUAACUAUAAUAAUUUAAGUAAGAAUCCAGGUUAUUUUAGGAAAGCUGGCAUAAUAACUGGAAUGGGGAGAGAGGAUACCCCUGGGUCCUGGUAAUGUUGCAGCUUCUAAUCUCUGUUGCAGCUUUCACCGGUUUGCUCCUUUCGUAAAAUUUAUAGAGCAAAAUACUCAUCAUUUUUGCACCUUACCAUAUUGUUGUAUUUUGAUUAAUUUGACACAUCCUCUUUAGGUAUGUGCUCUUGGGUGAUUCCCCUAAUCAUAGUGGAAAGAUGGGAGCUGAGACUCUAAGACUGUAAGUAACUUGGCCAAGACUUAUGGCUUGAUACGGAUCUUCUAACUCAAAAUCGUGUGUUCUUCUCACUACCCAAUUAUUGCUUCACACUUCAUCAUUUUGCAGAUGACUGUGUGUUGAUGAGAGGCUGCCAUAAUUUGAAGUCAUUAGAACAAUGAAAUAGUAUCUGCACAUAUGCACAGUCCUCGGAUGCGAUGGGCAUUCCCUCAAGCUGCAGUCCAGCAGGAAAUUUUCAGUGCUAGAAGAGUUAAACUAUAAGCUGACUUGAGAUGUAGUAGUUCAAAACCCUUGCCAAUAACUCUUUAUUAUGUGCAGCAUUUUCAAAGCAAAAUUACAACAUGUUAGAAAGUGAAUGAGGCAAAUUACUGGUGAUGUCAUCAAAGUAAUAACUGCUAAUGACCCUUUUACUCCUGGGCAUUGCCUGAGGCCACACUGACAGGAAGAGCAGAUCUGCUUUCUGUGAAUCCAUUUGGAUUAUCUAGAAGGCAUCCUGAAAGUUAUGAAAACAUAAUGUGAGAAAAUGAUAGAUCAAAGUGUGAAUACAAUGCAGGGACAACAGAAAGGAAAAUGUACUCUCUGUUGUGUAAUGGGUAUUUUGGCCAGAGUUUGAAGAGCUUUAUUAAGGAGUGACAACAAACAUAUAUUUAAAUGAUGACAUUUCCUCCAAAAUAAAAUAAACAAAUAAAUAUGUAGAAUUUAAAACUUUUUUGUUUCCAUGAAAGAGUUUGGAAUACCCUUCCAAACUCUCCUCAUUCAUUGAGACGAUGGAUCUCUUGUUAUUAACCGAGACACUGAAUUUUGAGGUGACAUCCUGUUCUGGAGGCAGAAACAUUGCCAGCACUUCUCCUUCAGCAGUUGAUUUAUUAUGUGACAGUCGGUGAUGAGCUUAUCCUCAUGAAGAUGCUCCCUCCCACGGACAGCCGUAUCAUACUUGAGGCCUCCCUGCCACUUACCCAGGCCACUGCAAUAGCCCCUUUGUUGUCAUCUGGUUAAGAACUAAGGUUCUUCCUUAACCAGUCCAUUCCCCUGACUUCCACAGAGAAACCAUUCUAUAAACUGCUCAUCUGUCAGCUGUUCACCAGCUCAAAAACCAUUCAGAAUCCCACACCUUCUCCCACUGUCCACAGAAUAUUGUCAGUACUCCUUCUAAGAGAAUUCAAAGCAACAUGACAUCAUCCUAUAUUUCUAGCCUUACCUAAUAAAUAUUCAUACCGACUACCUACUGCUUUCUAUACAGGGAAACAUUUCAAGGCCUCCGAGGUCUGCUUGGAAUUCUCCCAUCCACCAUCAUUUCUGCUGCCUAUUAAUAUUCCACCUAUAAUUUAUUCACCAAAUAUUCCUUGAAUGAGUGCCAGGUGUCAGAUACCUCAGUUCCAAGGUCCUUUCUUUUGUGAAGCUUUUCUUGGAAGCUCCCCUGUCUGAGCUCACACUCUAAUUGGGACAUUAUUUAAUUAUAGUCUGUAUUGAACAAUAUUCGUGUCAAAUGCAUUUUUGUCUGUUUCUCCUACUGGAUUUGGAGCAUAUAUCUUGGAAUCACUGCCACCUGCCAUAGUAUCUAGCACAUUAUAGACAAUAAUUUUUAUUGACUGAAUCAUUUUGAAGUUAUUCCUCUAUGUUCUAGAGAAUUAAUACUUUAGUUUCUGUAUUCCCUACUUAGAGAUACUUUUAAGGUGCAUUGAUAAUAAUCCUGGAUUUAUUAGAAUCUUUAGGGAGCAUCUCAGAAUGAGAUUAUAAUUCUUUCUCGAUAGCAGGGAUAAGACUGGUGCUGUAGAAGAUAAAAAGGAAUCCUAAUUUCUUGCUCACAUCUUGCUUUGGCAGAGUCAGGACAUAGGACCCAUAAUCCUUAUCUCCUAUGAAGAGAAAAUCUUGCCCCCGUCUUCUCACCAGCCCUUGGCAGAGCUGUUAGGAGGCAGAUUCCAGCUGCCAGCCCUUCCAGUGAUUUUUCUCAGCUGCAGCAAGCCACCUUGCCCAAGGUCAUGCCCUUCCACGUGUGACCCACAUCCAUGACUGAUGGAUGCAGGAGCUAUAAAGGCCCAGCCACUGCAGCCCAAUGCAGGGGAAUUGGGGCCAUCUUAGUUCCAGAGUUCUCCAUGAAACCGGCUGAGGCUAUGCCUGCAUAAUAGUUCAGGUUUUCCUUUUGUCCAAUCCCACUUUCUAUGCCUCCCUUUCAUGGAGACUGAUUACAAGAGCACUCUGAUAAACACUUUGAACAUUAUACUUCGUCUCAGAGUCUGCAUCCUGGUGAAUCUAAAUGGUAUCAUCAAUGCAAGUGGCUCUAAGAUGGGAUUUUGGAGCUGGAUGACUCACCAACCAGCCAGUGAUUAAGAUGCUGUCACUUGUGGUUGGUGGAGCACAACUAGUCCUGGUGCAAGGUGGGUACUGCUUGGUAAAACUUUCAUGAAGGUGAGCUGGGAAGCUACACCAGUGGAAAGGAAUGCACUCACUGGUGCAAUGCAUGCUUUUCAGUGCAUUUGAAAAUUAUGGGAGGGGUAGGUACUAUAAGGGCAAAGAGGUUGUAUGACUAUGGUUAACCUUUAAGCUCUAGAAAAAAACAAAAAUAAGGUUAAGUGUGAAAGCCAAAGCCAAAAGCCAAAGCUUUUAUAUAGUACCCUAUAAAAAGCCUCUCAUCUCCUUUAACAGCAGGGAAGAAAGUUGGAGAAAAGCUCCACAACUUAAUUGUCAUGGUAGCUGAACUAGAAAGAAUAAUGUACUCAUAACAAAGCCAUUUGUAUCCAGGUGAAGACCCUGACUGGGAUGAACGGGACCCUGAAACACGGAAAAGAGACUUGGUUGAUGACCUGAAAAAUUCGGAAUUCCUAGAUUCUCCCAAAUCUCUGAGCCUAUAGAAGCAGACUUUCCCUCCAUUUUAACCCAUUCAGAGGUCACUCCCCUGAAAGAGAGCAGGUACUCCACUCAGGAUCUUUCCCCACCUUGCUUCCUAGCCAUUAGGCUAAUAACUCAGGUAAAUUGCAUCAUAAUCCAGCCUUGAGUGUGCUGGGCCUGGUAAGAAAGGAAAGGAAUUACAUCCCAAAGGAGCUAAAAUAAAACCUGCUAACAUAGACCAGCAGGUAUGCUCUGGCAGAGCAGGUAUGGGUCUGAUCAAGGAGGCUGGAGCCUAAGAGUGAAUAAGGGAUGUUAUCUACUAGUGGUUUAGUGAAUUUGGGAGCACUCUCCCAAGGUACAGGAUUUAAAACUUAGCAAAAACCCUAGGAGAUGAUGCAAACUGGGUCUUAGGAGCAUGCAAACUAGUUCCUAGGAGCAUGGAAAAAGUGAUGGCCAGAGUAAGGGAGGUCUACAUGUUGGGAUCACUGUGUCUGAUGGUGGAGAAUGGGAUAAAAAACUAGGGAGUGAGCAUUCUAGGGAGGAUAUACAACAUACAAAAAGCCCACCACGUGGUUAUAUUUCAUGGGAAAUCCCCAGAGAAAAGAAGAGGUGUUCUGGUGAGACGGGAACCAGCAUCACCAAGAAGUUCAUUGGUGGCUGUCCUUUGUAGGUGGAAUUGACCAUAGGAGAGGGCAUUAUUACAGAGCUAGGGUCACUGAUAGUGAUAAGGAUAAUAAGAUCCCUACUGAAGCCCGGCAGUGGCACUUCAUUGUCAAAAUCCAGGUAGACAGGUAACUCAGGUAACUUUAUACUUGGAGAAUAGGAAAACUCAAACUGGCAGUGAUACCAGAAACUCCAAAAGUCACUAUGGCCUCAGUUUUGGGGUGGAGCUAACUAAACAGAGUUAACUAACUAGAGUUCAAGGCCAAUAUCUAAUCAACUGUAAGUCUGCAAUAUCUGCUGUUUUCUCAGGCCCUUCUGAAACUGCUCUCCCCCUCAAUCCAAGACAGUAAAUUAAAAAUAAUAUUGCAUUCCAGGGCAUGUAAAAAAUGAGUUUCGUUCAUAACUAUCUAAAUGAUGCAUUGAUAGUGGUCCCUACCAAAUACCCAAUCAAUUCAUCAGUCCAGCCCCUGCAGAAGCCAGAUGAGCCUUAGAGGAGGGGAAUGUACUACCACCAACUAUACCAAAUAUAACUCCAAUCACAAUCGCAGUCUCUGUUCCAGAUCAAGUAUAUUUGAUAGAGAAGAUUAACAUGGUUUCAGUGCAUGGUUUGAGGCCAUGUAUUGUGGUCAUUUUUUCUAUCUCUAUCUGAAAGAAGAUAAAAAGUUGUUAAUAUUUACAUUGAAUGGACAAAACUACACGUUCAUAAUUGUGCCUCAAGGCACUAUGGAUUCCCUCCCUCCCCUACUUUGUCAAUAAUACAGUCUGAAGAUGUACUGGACUGUCUGACAUCCACAGAGCAUCACAUUGAUCAUCUGCAUUUAUACGUCAUGCUAAUUGGAUUGGAGGAACCAAAGGUGGCAACCUUUUUGGGAGCCUUAGUAAGACACACACAGCUGAGGGUGGAAUAUGAAACCUACAAAGCUAUAUGGCCUGCCACACUAGCAAAAUAUUUAGGAAGUCAGUGUUCAGGGCAAACCAGGAUCCCACCUGUAGUAGUUGCCUGUAACUGCCAUAACAAAUUAUUUAAAAAUGGGUGGCUUAAAAUAACAGACAUUUAUUCUCUUACAGUUUGGGGGGCCAGAAGUCCAAAAUUCAGGUGUUGACAGAUCCACACAUCCUCAAAAUGCUCACAGAAAAAUUCCAUUCCUUACCUUGUCCUGCUCUGGGUGGCUUCCAGCACUCCUUGGGCAGUGUACCCCCCGGGAAUACUGCUUUGGCUCAUGUAUAGGUGACAUGAGAUGCUGCCAGCCUUGAGUGGGGCCCAGAACAGGAAAGUGCACUGUAAAAGGUUCAGGCUGUAGUUCAAGCGGCCAUUACCCUUGGGCCAUAUGACCCAGCAGAUCCUAAGAUAUUAAAGGUAUUAGUGGUGGGAUAAAGAGACCAUGGAGAGCCAAUGACAAUCUCAAGGGAGAGCAUCACAGAGCAAGCUUCUUGGACUCUGGACCAAGAAUGCCAGUGGAUACUUUGCCAUGCAUAUGCAGUGGAGAAUCACCUUUUGAAAAACAACUGCUGCCAUGCCACCAACCCCAAUAAAAGUGGAAUAUCUAUGCAUGAGACUUUUUUGACCCUGAAUGAUGAACUGCCCACAAUGACGUAGAUUCUGUCGGAACACACCGUGUUAUAAAAUUAGACGCAACUGGCAACAAUAGUGAGAAAAUGAAGUGUAGCAUAGGCAGGACCAGGGGCAGAGCCAACUGCAUGCAAAGGGAACACAGACCCCAUGCCACCCACCGCUGAUGCCCCAGCACCCUCCCUCAUCAUGCACCAGUGCCACAUGGUGUGAUCCCGCUUGGUUCGCAGAUGGGUUGGCUCUGAAUGUGGCCCAAGUCAGAAAUAACAGCCUUUCUUGGAGGCAGCCUUGAAAGACAGUGAUGAGGGGAAAUGCACUUUGGGAAGAGCACCUAGUUGUGCAGUUGUGGAAAGAGGUGUCCUAACAUGAGACUGUACAGAUUCAUAGGCAGCAGCAAAUAGCCUGGCAAGUCUGAAAAAAUAAAUAAACAAAUUUUGCAAUGAGAAGGACAAGGAGGGGUGGGAUAGAGGCAUUUGGAAUGUGAAUGGUGUAUGAAGAUCUUGGAGUCACGUGUUAACACCCACCACAGAGCGUCCACCAGAGAAGAGGUACUCAAUAUCCAAGUAGACAGAAUGUCAGCCAGAUUUUGUCAUAGACCAGUGUUAGCACAGGGACGUAUGGCCAAAGCAGUGGCAGUGAUGGAGAGCCUCCACACGGACCCCACAGCAGGAUCUCUCACUGACCAAGGCUAGUGUUGCCACUGAGUGUCAACAUCAAAUGUAGAGGCCCACACUGAGUUUGAAGACCAAACUGGUCACUUGGUAACAAUUGACCAAGUGGGCCCCUUCCACAUUGCAGAUGCCACCAAGUCACUGAGAGAAAUUGGUAGAUAUUUCAGGUAUGGAUUUUACUUACCUGAGGGUGUCAGACAGCCCCAGUGUCCGAAGCCUUACAGAGUGUUGGCUGCUUGGCACAGGAUUCCACAAACAACUGUCAAAAACUAGUGAGGCCACCUAACAGAAAUGCAGGUGAGGGAGUGGGCCAGUAACUACAGGAAUGACCUUAACAAAUAUUACACCAGCUAAAAGCUGCAGGCCUGAAAGAACACUGGAACAGUGAAAACACAGCUGAAGCAACGGCUCAGAGCUAGAGAAUGGAGUUCACAUCUCUAGGAAGCAGUGUAUGCACAAAGCAGGUUCGAUAUAUGAUGCUGUGUUCCCAGUAGGAGGAAAAUAGGAGUCCCAGGCACAAUGAAGUAGAAGCAAAAGUGGCAACUCCUCGAAAAUUCUGAAAGAGAAUCCUUUCCAAUCAGUGUUCCAUAGCACCUAGAUCAUCCAUUAUGCAUGCCUAUGGAAUAGUCAUUUUUAGAUGUUCGCAGACCCAAAAAAUUAUCUGCCAUAUGCACUUUUCUAGAUAGCUAUUCAAGGAGGAAACUUACAAAAAAAAAAAGGAAGACACUAAAAAACAUGAGAUUCAUUAAACUAGGAAUUCAACACAAAAGAGCUGGGGGGUCUCCACAGGACGGUGAGGGGAGAUGUUAGGCAGCCAUGCUCCAGGCUGAGUGAGGUACCAGUCUCAAUGGAUAGAAGCCUCUGGGAAGGACGUCUUCAAGCAGAUGAAACUUUCCUAAGAUUGGAUACACUCCACUGUAUUAUAAAGAGAUUUUAUUUCUGGGGAAGAAUUUGGGGAAGAAUUAGUAAUAAUUAAUAGAAAAAAAGAAAGAUAAAUUAGACAACUUUAAGAAAAACAAAUUUGUGUAAGAAAAUUCAUUCAAGUGUCCUGUGUCAAUCGUGCCUAGCAUUUACAUGGCCAUAAUAAAAUAAGCACUACAUUUUGUACCCAACUAAAAUGAAAAUAUGGGUAGGUUGGAAGGAUGACAGGCCAGGAAGUAUGCACGAAUAUGGCAGGGAGAGGGGUAUGAAAGGGGGGUUAAUUCCCUUCUUCAAGAGCCUAAUUUUUAUUUAAGUGCAAUUUGGUGGAAGGUUAUCAGCCUACACACUGGAGCAUUAUCAGAAAGAAGUCUAUUGCAUUUGCUUUGGAGAUGUUACUAAACAUUCGUUUCUUUGUAUGGUCAUGUCACUCGUAUGAUCAAUUAUAAGGUAAAUUUUUCUCUGGUCAUUUUACCAAGUAAAGUUAUAUUUCCCUUGAGAAAAACGUGCUUUUUUUUUUUUGUUAUAGACACUAUGAAUCAUACACAAAUCAGUUUUCACUCUUUUGUUUUGAAUUUUAAUGAAUAUAGAGGUGGCUUUGCAUUAUGUUUUUAUCAUACAUAUAGAAUGUUCUGGCAUUCAUCUUGCAUACUAACUUCACUGCUGAUUUAUUAUAUUUUCUGACCUUCAUUUUCCUUUCUCCAUGCUUUCUUCAAUUACAAAUUCUUAUAAUGGCUAUAUUUCUUCAAAUAAAAGAAAUUAUUUUGUUUUGGAAUGAGGCAAGGUUAGAAGCAAACAUAUAAAUAAAUGCGACUUUGAACAAUUAAUCAAUUUUGGAUGCACUUUUUGUAAUUGCUUUGCCUGUUUGUACUGUGCAGUCACCAUAUCUUCCCACUGGAGCAUAAAUUUACAAACUUCAUGCAAAUGCAUUAUUUGUAAUAAAACUGACUCAUGAGCAUUAAAAGCCAAUUAUUUCUAUACAUCUGCUGGCUAUGGCUGGCAAUAAUUGUGCGUCAUUCAGAUUUGUGGCUGUGUGUUUGCCUUAGUAAGAUUUUAAUCACUCAUUAAUUUAUGGUUUACAAUAUGCAUCAUGGGCGCCUGUAUUCCCCAAACUACCUCAGACUUACAAAUCGAGAAGCUGCAGAACUUGGAAUUGUGACAACAGAGGCCUCUUUUAAGUUGUGUCUUCAUGCCAAUGUCUACUAGAGGAUCAUAGAUGAAAUAAGACAACCCCCCCACCCACCUCAAAACACACUGAGUACAAUUGAUCUUCCAUUCCAUUGAUGAAUUACUUUUUCAUUUUUUUUAUAAUACCAUACUAUGCAUUUUUAUGUUACUUUUUUAUUUGCCAGUUAAUGACUUCUUGGUGGCCUAACCUUUGUGGAGACAGGGUCCCUAUGGAAGGAGCAUACUUUCAAAUUUUUGUAGAAGGGGACUUAAAUCCUUUUUCCGAUUCUUGUUGCAAAAUCUUAGGCAAAUCACUUAGUGUCUCUGAACCCAUACCUAUGAAAACUUUUUUAAACAGUAAAAGUGCAAUAUCAGUAGUAGUGAGGAUUUUGAUGAAUGACAGGCCAGUCUCUGAAGGAAUUGUCCUUAACUAUGGCAGGAAUGAGCUUGGGGAAAGGACUGGUGGUUGACUCCCACCUAAACCUCUGAAACAGAGCAUUCUAACUAGAAAAAAGAGAUGCUGGAAAAUGCUGCUGGCCACCUCCACUCUCCAACCCUCUCUCCAUCAAGGGCAGACAGAGAAUGAGAAGCAGAAUGCUAUGAAUAGUGCAUUUUUAAAUGCCCCACACUGAUAAGAACAAGAAAAAGUACAGAUUGUUUCAAAUAUACAGAAGCUAGGAUGGGAGGACAAAAAAUUUCUGAUGGUUAAAAAACCAUAUUGAAGGAAUGAGAAAAAAUAUCCACCUUCCCACAAAGCAGUGCAAGAUAAAGGUCUACCACACACUAGACAUUUGGCUAGGGACCAUGCUUAUUGCAUAGUUUAAGAUGUGAGGGGACAUUAAGGUGGCACCCAGAUGAAUGAUAAAAAGAUCAAAGUGAAUACACACUCCCUAUCUGUUGGCAAACAGCAGAGAUAUAUACGUCUUAUCUCAUAUAAGAAAAAACUAGAAAAGAACAACAGAAAACAACAACAUGGGCUGUAUGAAAACAUUCUGACACAUGACAAGGUGAGACAUAGCAAUAAAGAUUCAGAGAAAAGCAAAAUAAUUCACUACAAAUGGCAGAAAAAAAGUAGAAUGCAUCUGCUUUGUGUUCUCAGUAUAUAAAAAAAUAUUGUUGCUAUGAAGUAAGACAGAAUUUGUGUUGGUCAAGUGGAAAAUAAGGUUUUAAAGGAGCUGGCAGAGUUACGGAGAAAAUGUAAUUAAACUACAAUAUGAUAUCAAAAAAUAAAAUAUACAUUGGAGACAGUAAACAGCUGAAUUUAGACUUGUUCAAUCACUGAUGAAUGCAAGGUCAGCAAACAGUGGUUCACAGGCCUAAUCUGGUACAUCCCUGUUUUUAUAUUGCCCAUGAGCUAAGAAUAACUUUUACAUUUUUAAAUGGUUGAAAAAAAAACCCAAAGAAGAAUAAAAUUUUGUGGCAUACGGAACUUAUAUGAAAUUCAAAUUUCAAUGUCAUGCAUAAAGUUGGAUUGGAACACAGUGCCACUCCCCCAUCCAUUUACAUAUUAUCUAUAGCUGAUUUCUGGAUCCAAAGGCGGAAUAUUUGGAAUAGAGAUCAUAUAGCUCACAGAGCUAGAAAUAUUAACUAUUUGACCCUUUAGAAAGAAGAUUUGCCAACUUCUAAUGCAGAGGACUUAUUAACUAGAGAAACAUGUUCUCAAAAGUGACAUUUCUUUUUUUCUUUUUUCCUUUAGUGCGGUUGUGUUAUUAACUUGAAAUGCAGUUUGGUUACUUUGUUUCUGUUCGCAUUCCAUGUGGAGUUUUUUUCUUCCGUUCUUAUUAAUUAUAUUUGCGUAUGCAAAAUAUUAAUAUAGUUCUAAAAGUCAGAUCUAGUAGGUUCUUGAAAACUGGACUUCAAGCUAAAUGAUGUAUAAUGAAACCAACUUUACCACAGGCUAAUUGAUAUAAAUAGGACUUAAGUUCCUGCAGCAUAUUUCUAAUCACAAAAACAUCAUCAAACUUCUAAAUAAAGAGCAAAACACUUCUAAUAUUAAACAUUGAAAUUAAUAUGAGCUAUGCACAUAUUUAAGAAAGAUGAAUAAAAACAAGUAAUAGUGCUCAAUAAAUACGUGUGUCUUCAUUCUGCUAUCUUAUAGAAGCAUAGUUAAGAAAUAUACAACAACUAGAAGUCAGUCUUGGGGUGCAUUAGUUGUAUAUAACAAAUGUACACAGAUUUGGUAACUUAAAACAACACAGAUUUCUUAUCUUACAGCUUCCGUGAGUCAGAAGUCCAGGUACAGCGUAACUAGGUUCUCUGCUCAGACAAUCAAGGUGUCUACUAGGACUGUGAACUCAUCUGAGGCUUGGCAUUUUCUUCCAAGCUCACUGUUAGUUUGCAGAAUUCAACUCCUUGUAGUUGUGAGACAGAACUCCUGAGGUUCUAGAAGACACCUGUCAUUCUCUGUCAUGUGGCUCUUUCCACAACAAGGCACCUGUUUUAAAUGGCUCGCCUGAUUAUAUCAGACUCACUCAGGAUAAUCUCUCUUAGACUACCUCAAAGUCAAUUAAUUAGGGCCCUUAAUUACAUUUUCAAAAUCUUUUCACCUUUGAUGUAUAACUGAUCUAGUUACAGAAGAGAUACCCUUCCUAUUGCUCCUACACUCAAGGGGUAAGUAUUGUACAAGGAUGUGGGCCAUUGGGGGUCACUUUAGAAGUCUGCCUGCUGCAUGGGCUCUUCCCUCAUUGUGUGCCUCCUCGGGCUUGCAUGCUAUCUAGAGGACCCAAUCAUCCCACAGAAGAAUGAUGUCAGCAGGAAAGGCCGGGAGUAGAGUGUAUGUGCACUGUGUAGCCUGUGAGUAGACCUGGUUGGCUUUGUGACCUCAAGUAAGUCAUUUCAAGUAUAUUUGCUUUUCCUAUUGGGAGUCAAUUCUCCAUUGGGUUUUCCCAUUUCUGAAGGUAUUGCAAGCAGAAGCACUAAAAGAUAACUAUAUUUUCAAGGAUGUUUGUAUAGCAAGAAGCCUUGGAAGAUAUAGAUAGCAUCAUCCUCCAGAGUAGAGGGUAAGUUUGUUAAGUGCCAGGUAAAAGAAAGAUAAUGUCUUCCUUCUGGGAAAAAAUUCCCACAAGUUUGCUUGCAAUCUAGUAUAAAAGAUUUGAGUUCAUGAGAUUGGAGUUCCUCAUUUGUGAUGCACACCUGUGCAUGCAGCAUUCACCUGAGUCCACUUUUGUGUUGCCUCCAUUAGAAGUUGGAACAAGGCGAACCAAUGCAACCAUGAAGUUUAUGCUGCUGUCUGUGUUGUAAACAAUGGUCCUUUGUCUCUGGUCCAGGAGUCUCAUUUCUUCUGCCGGCACUCAUGAACCUGCAAUAGCUAACUUGCCUGGUUGCAAAGAAAAGAAAAUCUCAGAUAUUCCAUGGUUCUUAACAUUUCCCCAUAGUACCUUUAUAUGAGGGGUGCUUCCAACUUCACUUGCUUAACACCAUGACCUAUGGUCCUUCUAACUCACCCUCUAGUAUCACUUCCUCCUUGGAAAGUUUCUUAACUCAUCCCCUUUCUUCUAGAAAAAGUCAUUCACACUCUCUUCCACACAGUACUUCCUCCUUCCUCCUUAACCACAGUUUCACUUUCCAGUUUCACUUUUCAGUUACCUAUGGUUAACUGCAGUCUGGAAACAUUAAAUGGAAAAUCUCAGAAAGAAAUCAUGUUGUAAAUUGUGUGCCAUUGUGAGUAGCAUGAUGAAACCUUGUGCUGCCUUGCUCUCUCCUGCCCAGCACUUGAUUCAUCCCUCUGUCCAAUGUAUCCACACUGCGUAUGCUCCCGGCCUGUGAGUCACUCAGUAGCCAUCCCAGCUCUCAGAAUCACUGUCCUGGUAUUGCAGUACUUGUGUGCAGGAAACCUUGUUUCGCUUAAUAAUGGCCUCAGAGUGCAACAAUAGUGAAACUGGCAUAUUGUGAUCAAGGUUCUAUUUUAUUAUUGUUGUUAAUCUCUUACUGUGCCUAAUUUAUGAGCUAAACUUUAUCAUAGGUAUGUAUGUACAGAAAAAAGUGUAGUAUGUAUAGGGUUCAGUACCAUUUGCAGUUUCAGGCAUCCAGUGGGGGUCUUAGAACAUAUUCCAUAGAACAUAUUCCCCACGGAAAUGGAGGGACUACUGUAUUACCCUUCCACUUAUGCCAUAAAGGUCAGAUUAAAAGGAAAACUGUCUUCCCCAAAACUACACAUCAUUUUGAGAAUAAGGAAUUGCAACAUAUCUAGUUCUAUAUAAAAUCUACUAUAGAGGACUUUCCCAAAUAUUUUACUUUUCAAAUCAGAUUAGUAUUUGGAGAAGAGACAUUAACAUGAAGCAACCUCAGUAAACAUUGGUAUUGGAUCUCCAUAGAAGUCUCUUAACGGGAUUAUUAACAAAGGGGGCAAAGAAAUGUAAUUUAGGUGUAAUUAUUUCUCUGGGGAUUGGGAGUUGGUGAUGACCUCCCAAGUUCAUUUCUUGCACGUUGUCACAAACAAGGAUAUCAAAACCACUUUAGGAACGCAAUUGGGUAAGAGAUGUAUGUUGCAAAGAUCAUGAAUAGUAAAUAGAAACUUGUGACUUGGGAAAAAACUUCCAGUGACAACCUUUUAUAAAGAUUCAAGAAGAUCUGCCUCUCAAACCUAAAUAAAGAUUAGGCGCACUAGGUGACUCAAAGAGCGCUUUGAUUGACAAGGAAGACAUGAUACUGAGGAGACAGGAUGAGUUCAAAUAAACUUGCAUCAGGAAAUGAGCAGAGAAAAAUUAACAUACUUUACACAUGAUUGAAUGUUAAAUGUGUAGCUAUUUUGAAAGGUAGAUAUUUUAUUAUUUGGCUACCUUAGUUAUUUGUAGAGACAUUGUGUGUGUGUGUGUGUGUGUGUGUGAUCCUAUUUUGCACUUCCUGACAAGGAACCUGUGGCUGUCGUUAUAUUCACAGCUCUGCUGUAUUCGGUGGUAGUUAGUAAACGUUCCCUGCAUCUUGCACGUGAUAGACAGUCUCCACUUCUGAAUGAGAUGAAGUUAGAGAUCAUUGUAUCCUCAACAUUUUGCAUCCUAUUUGACACACGGUGGUCAGAAAAAUUCAUGUUGAAAAUUAAAUUUUUCACCUGAGACAUCAAUUUUCAUCUCUAUAAAAUAAGGUGAUUUGAGCAACCAAUCUCCACUGUCCUUCUGGGCUCAGAGGUUCCAAGAGUCCUUCAUCUAGAAGCUGCUGGAAAUCAGUGCUGUAACUGGCUGCAAAUUCCUGUGAGAAGACUUCGUGGAAGUCUCCCCUCAGAGGCCUAAUCAAGAAAGCCUUCUAGGGCUGAAAGCCACCUUUGUGACACUGCCCCACCUCCCCCCCUUGCAAAGGGGCCAGGGUUUCUGUGGGAAGAAGGGAAGCUCAUGCUUUAUGGCAUGUUUUGCUAAUGUGACAAUCAAAGGCCUUCCAGGUGUUAAUGGUGGCAACGGUGCAGAAAGCCCAGAGUGACAUAAUUCGGUUCUGGCUUGUGUUGGUCUGAUUGCCUUUUUUGGCAUCAGCUAACUCUCAGUUUCCUUUCACCUUUUGGUUGAAAUGAACCGAGUGAGCUGAGGCGAAGUUUCCUAGGAUUAGGAUGUAAACCUGAUCUUCCUGUACCCCAGAUCCCAGGGCUGGAAAUCAGCUGGCUGAGGAGAGGGAGGUGGAGAGGUGGGCAACUACUCACCCCAUGGAAGCCACAGCUCUCACCAUGUUUAAGAGAGACUGGAGAAGAAAACAAGGUCCACAGAGUCUCCUAAUUACAAACAAGGGCCUGUCUCUUCUCAUCCACAUUAAUUAAUGCUGUUGCCUGGCUUUGCUUGUACAGAAGCUGAGUGGCUUAUUCCGCCUUGCUCAUGAAAUUCUCAAGUCAAAGCAUUCUGCUCGGCUGGCCAUGGUGCCUGGCAGCAUGGGGACAGACCUUCCCAAUUAUCACCUCCAGAAUAAACCUAUUCAGUUCUCUGCAAAAACAAAUGACAUCAGCAACAAUAACCACGCAAUCACACUGGCAUUUACUUCUACCUGAAAUGCAUUCCCUGUAAUUCAAAACAACCUAGUACAGUGGGCAGGAAAGGUGUUGCUAUUUGCACUGGCGAAAUGAGAACAUGAAGGCCCGGGGGAGCAAAGCAACCUCCUGGGGAUAAUAAAGUGCAUCAGGCAGACUGGAUCCUGGUCCUUGGUCUUAAACUCUCAGAAGGAGUAGACUUUCUUAUGAAAACCACUUCACUUGAAGUCACCCCAGAACUGAAUUUUCCUCACUUUUUCUCAGCCCGUGGUAUGGGAAGAGUAAGGUGUUGGGAAUGGGUUAGCUAUAUUUAAACACUAAUUCCAUGGUUUACUAACUGUGUUAUUUAGCAUCUCAUAAGGACAGUUAAUUUAUCUAUAAAAUGAUCAUAAUAAUGCUUUUCUCAUGGGAUUUCUGGAUUAUAUAAAUGCAAAAAUAUAAGUACUUUUAGAUACUUAACAAAUAUAUGAGUUCCUUUUUCCUUUCUUUAAGGGACACAGUCCUUCACCAUCAGCAAUUUUAUUUACAGAUCUCUCAAAUGGCAGGGCUACAGAGAAACAUAUGAAAAAUAAUAUAUUAAGCUAUGGGAUUAAACAUAUCAUGGAGGGUGCCAUGGUAGGGAGGACUUCAUAUUUUUGAGUUUUCAGUCCCAUCACCAAAAAGGAUAGAUAGGCCCCUCUCUUACCACAUGCCAGCUUCUCUUUGGCUGUCAAUCUGCAGUUCCAUAUUGCAGCCUCACUUGUCAGAGAUUAGGGCCUCAGACACCAAUAAAUUCACUGGUUGUUGCUAUAAAGGCCUCUGAACAAAAUGGGACAUGACAAAGGAAACUAAUGACAACUUUCCAUUCUACAUACCAUUGCAGGCUGGAGCUCAGACUCCCAGAAACAUUCCCUGCACUGAAGGAACCUCCAGUUCUCAGGACCCACUCUUCAUUCUCCUGCUCUUUGGGCAGAAUGCAUAAAUUGGUUAAUGCUACCUGGACUUUAGCAGUUAAAAAAAUUACAGUGUGGAAGGUACUGGUUUAGUUUUAAGCAAACAUCUGCUGAGGGCAAGGGACGCACUCACUUAAAAGAUGAAACUAGUUUGGGUAAUGUACUAGUUCCUUCUCAUGCUGCUAAUAAAGACAUACUCAAUACUAGUCAUUUAUAAAGGAAAGAUGCUUAAUUGAUUCACAGUUCAGUAUUGCUGGGGAGGCCACAGGAAACUUACAAUCAUGAUGCAAAGGGGAAGCAACAUGUCCUUUCUCACUGAUGGCAGGCAGGAGAAAUGCCCAGCCAAAGGGAGAAAAGCCCUUUAUAAAACCAUCAGAUAUUUUGAGAACUCACUCGCUAUCAUGGAAACAGCAUGGGGGUAACCAUCCCCAUGAUUAAAUUACCUCCCACCUGGUCCCUCCCAGGACACGUGGGGAUUAUGGGAACUGCAAUUCAAGAUGAGAUUUGGGUAGGCACACAGCCAGACCAUAUCAGGUAAGAUAUUCAGUAUCUAAAGCUAAAUAAUGAAGAGAAAUCAAACAACUUCUUCAUAGCUAACUUCUAAAAUUCUGUCAAAUAUUUUCUGGUCAGGUUAACUUCAAGCAUAUUUACACAGUUUCCUCUGUAAUCUAAGUUUUGUUUAAGCUCAGGCAGAGUCAAAUUUAACAAGUUUCUGAUUCCGGCACAUUUAGUCCAUUAACAUGCCAUUUUGUGAAAGUAAUAUUGAAACAAUUCUCUAGUAUUUUGAGACUUUCUGAGCAGGAAGAUAGAUAGGACCAACUAUGUACUUUGUGAGAUCCAGUGCACAUGUGGGAAUCCUGGUUCAAAAACUACUUAGAAUUUCAAAGUGGUGAUAAGAGAUUACUAAACUAAGCAUGCAGCCUUUCUGAGGGCAGGAUCUUAUGCAACGUUUCAAAGAGCAAUUACUAAAGGUCUUUAGAUCUGGGUACUUUCCACAGAUUCUUUAAAAUACGCAUUUAGAUCUUACAAACAAGAGAUGUAUAAAAGUAAUGAAUCAACAGCCUGGAGAAGGCUUGCAAGUGUUCAUUCAUUCACUCAUCACUCGAUUUAAUGAGGGCCUAUCAUGUGUACUACUUGAGACUCAGAAUGCAAAGAUUUGUAGAGACCAACAAUUGCUUCACAUUUCGAUACACCAGCACAGCAGAGAGUCUUCCAUAAGGAAGGUUUUCAGUAAAAGGCUAAGGAAACAUAUAGUCUGGCUGAGAAGAUUCCAUGGGUGGAGACUGAAUAGACAGCAUAGAGUCCAGGGCAAUAACUGCCCCCGUAGAAGCAUAUAUGGGAGAAAGCUAUCCUUGCCACUUGAUUACAUUGUAAGGACCACAAAAAUCUGAACAGUUCUUGCCACCUUGAUUUUUCUUCAGCUGUUAUUUACAAGCAUAGGACUUCCAAGGCUAUGAGUUGGACAUCUAUAGGUGAGACAAAGGUGGCCCAAUCAAUGAUGCUCCAGGAGUAUAGUAGAAGCAGGAGACAGCAUACUUAGACCCACUGACUUUCACUUUGCCCAACUCAUUACAGAUAGAACCUGUGCCAUCUUGAAAAGACAAAGGCCACCACAAGCAAUUUCUCCACCACAUACAGCUCAAUCCUUUAUUCUAACAAAUGGGGUCUGUUAUGUUGUAUCCUAAGGUUGUGGAUAUGCAGAUGAUCAUUUAUUUUCAAUUAAUAGUACAGUGUAUGGAAAAGGUUGGAACAAGCCUGGGUUCCAAAUGAGCCCUUGAUCUGCGUUGAUGACAAAGCCCAUGCAAGUCAGUUAAGUUUCUGAGCAUCUCUGAUGUGCAAGGAGGGGCCUGAUUUCUCUAGCAUGGUCCUUUAAUUUCUAGAGGUAAGUACUUUUCUCUUAAUUUUACUUAUAAAGAAGCUGAAGCUAAGAGAAAUCAAAGGCCCUUCCCACGUGGGCACUCAGCCUGAGAGGUGCAGGCUCCAGCCAAGCUUUCUCUCCACUGUGCAUGGCUGUGGCCUCUGCAUCUUUGUCUAUAAAAUGAAAAACAGGCCCCUCUGCUAGGUAUGUCAAGGGUUGUUGAAACUAAGAUGUGGGGGUGAAUACAUAACCACCUCGAAAGCUAUGAAGCACUGCAAUGGAAAUGACCAUUAUUACUUUUCAGCAAAUAGAAACACAUUUUAUCCAAAAAAGCAUUAUGAGAAGAAAGCUACAUAUGCAUUAUUUUUUAUUCCUCACCAAGCCUUAGGGCAAUUAUGUUCAUUUUUAUUAUCUGAUUAUAUUAUGAUCUGAUUAUAAAAAUUGUAUAGGCUUACUGUGGAAAAUACAGAUCACACAGACUAAAAAUAAGGGAAAUUAUACCUAUAAUAUCAGGUGUUAAUGGUAAAUAUUUCUAUCCUACGUUUUCUGUGUGUGGAUCUCUAAAACAUAUUGUUGAGAGGAAAUUACAUAAUCCAUACAUGCACAUACUAUUUGAAUCAUACCUUUAAAACUCAACAUUCAUUUAUUAAUUCAAAGUAGCUGAGCUUCUGCUGUUUCAGGCAUGUGUAACAUGUCCUGGGAGAAUAAGGGAGAGUGGUGUAGAGAAUAAAAAAAGCUAGUGACGCAGGUAGAUGCAGAGAGAGCAAUUGCAAAAAUUAUCCUAAUCAAACCUGGUGAGGGUAUUGCUGCAGAAGAAUAUAGGAAAUAAACCUAGAGGAUAAAUAGGAGUUAUUAGGAUAAAGCAGAGAUAAGGUAAGGGAACAGCCUAUAUGGUAAGGGGCAGGAAAGAGCAUGGUCCACAGGGUGUACAAGGAACCAAAAAUAACACCUCUAUGGCCGGGGCUAGAAGGACAAAUGACAUGGGGGGUAGUAUGUGGAUUUUCCCACAUCAUUUAAAUUUUCUAUGAAAUGGCAUUUUAAAUGCCCGAGGCAAGUUUUCACUCCAAUACCUCAAAACAUGAGAGUACAGACAGCCAUCGGUCUUCCCUCUAUGCUUAUAGACUGGAAGGUUUCCUCUCCCUGAAGACAGCAGAUUUGGCAAAACUCUCUGAGGGACAUUAUUAUCAUUGUCACCAUCCGUCUGUUCCAUAGAAAUCAGAAAAUGUUGCCUAAGAGUGUUGUGUUGGAAUAUAUUUAUCUUACAGGUUCUGAUUUAUCUGCCUAUGUCUCUAGCUCUUCCGGAUCUUCUCUAGCCCCUUCAAGUCUCAACUUGAGGCUCUCUGGUAUUUCCUCAAACCAUGGAGCUUUGUCCCCAGCCAGCUUCCAGGUCCAGGCCUGGCCUACAAAGAAGGCCAUGACUCACCACCUCCUCGUUCCUAGAAGAUUCCCUCCUCGGAUCUGGAAGAAAGGCAAGAUGGUGUUGAGGACAUUGGUGCAGAGGCAUGAGGGAGUGAGGGCCACCUCUGCUACUUAGUGAGUGGUUUGGGGCAUCACUUAACCUCUUGGAGCCUCAGGGUUUUCACUGGUAAAAGACUGGGAAUGGAGAUUGUGAGGAUUAAUACGAAGUGGAUGAGGAGGUGAGCAGUGCCUUGUGCUGAGGAGGUGUCAAUGAAAGGGAGUCGUUAUGAGAACGCCCAGACUUGCAGUCUGCAGCGAAAGGCCUCAGGGAGGAAAUGGCAGGGCCCACUCUGUGGAUGGGCAUUUCCUGACUGGACUGAGCCUAACAAUCAUGGGAUUGAUAGGCUCAUUUAUGGCUGUCCUUCAGGGGUGACUGGGUUUGUGUAGCACCGUAAUUGGUGUUUUCAUUCUGUGCAUGAACCCUAAGGUGAGUUCUCAUUUUAUAGGAAAGCCGCCAAUAAAUGAUUAAUUAAAGCCCUAUAAAAUAUGACUUUUUAAAGCCAUUUACUACUCAACUAGGACACCUCAGAAGUUCAUGCUAUGUUUUUAUAUCAUGACACACUUGGAAUCAAUUAAUUUAUAUAUGUAUCCGUUCUCUAAGCAGCCUACUUUCUCAUCUCUAAUGUGUUUGGAUUGUGGUAGGCGCUGGGGAGAAGAAAAAAAAUCUAAUUUCGAUGCAGGGCUUGCUAAGUGGCAAAUGCUAUUUCAUUUCAGCUUUCCGUAUCGCCGUUUGAGACAGUUGCUAUUGCUAUUGUCCCCAUGCCAUAGAAAAGGACGUUGAGGCUCAGGUUUCUAGGUGGUAUUGACAAAGCUACAUGGCUAGGGAACACUGGAGCUGGGCCUUGCAGCCAGGUGCAUUUGGUUCCAGGGUGUCUGUUCUCUCAACUCACUCACAUGAUGUCUCCAAGGAGGAACGAAAAGUAUCCCCUGUCUUCAGUGGCCUCAGUUUUGUUAAACUAAAGAAGAUUCAAAUUACGCAGAGGAUGUAAACAGUCUAAGCUCCCUAUGUUUUCAGUCUUUAUGCUGAAAGGUGGAAGUGCAUGGCAUGGGUUUGGCAGACUAAUGGAUGGGUCCACUAUCUGCUAAGCAAACCAGGAUGAAUGAGGUGGCUGUGUAUGCUAGGGAGGCCACCGUGCUGUGACUAGGAAGGCUAUUGGCAUUGAGGGGGCAGAUUCCAUAGGUUCGGUCAACCCAAGUCCCCUCAACUAGGUUCUCACAAUAGGUAAAUGACCCAAAGUCCAAUUUUAAAGUUUUUGUGGUAAUGUUUUAAGGAACCUCGGAUCCUGCCAAGAGAUAGGUGGGUCCUCUCAUCAUCUCUAAGUUGAGGCUCCACAUCCGUAGUUCUCUCCUUGGCCUUCACAUUAACAUUACAAUGAUCUGGAGAAGGUUUAGCAAAUACUGAUGACUGGGGUUCACCCCAAAAGUGUGUAUGUCAUGGUCUGGGAUGCAUCCCAAGCAUUCACAGCUUUUUCAAUCUCCCCAGAUGAAUCUAACAUGCAGCAAGUUUGAAGACUUGGGGAAUUCUCUCAUCUCCCAUACAGUUUGUUUGCCUAGGCACAAUUUAGAGGAAGAGUCACACGGUGUCACCUUUCUAUUUUACCUGUCAAUUUCAAUGACCCUUUUCUCCUCAUUUCUGGACUUAUUCAGUGUCCUCUUCCCUCAGCCUUGUUCAGCCAGCUAAUGGCACAUACUAAUUCCAUACUGGGCACUAACUCUUUGGAUUUCCUAACACAGAGGAUAUUUUUUAUUUAAAAAGAGGAUAUUGAUGUCUUAAAAACAACAGCAGCAGCAAAAAUCAAAUCACAGGAGAUCAGUGGGGUCUUUUGAAGGCUUCUAAAGGAGUCUGUAUAGGAAACUCGGUGCUAUUGCUGUGUGCAAGCCAAUCCUACCUGGGAUGCAAGCGUUCCUUGGAAAACAACCUUCUGAGUCUAAGUAGAAGCUGGUGCCUGAAUCUUUAAAUUACUUUGUCUUUGUAGUUAAAGAAGGAUUUGUUUUUCUUUAGAAGCAAGGCAACAUCACAAAUCCUAGCUGACCACAACAUUCCCAAAGCCUGAAAGGCACUCUCCGGCAGGUGAGCCAGUUGAUCCUGGGGUCCCAGGCUCAGUCACCUAGUUAACACUCAUGGCCAAACAUUAACCACCCAGGCUGCGCUGUGCUGUGUGCUGGGUCUCUGCCUUCAAAGAGCUGCUUCCAGCUGGGUGGAGAGAAGACAGGGCCACAGUUACAGGACAGUAAGGUCAGUGCUCUGAAGGCAUAGAGAAUGGAUCCACUGCUCAACCUGGAACAGAAGCAUGGGCAGGGAAGACUUUUUAGGGCACAUUAAAGCCCCAGGGGAGAGGCAUUCCAGGCAGGAGGACCAGUGUGAGCAGAAGUGUGGAGUGGCACAAGUACAACAAGGAAGUGGGAAUUGAACCAGAUUCAAGAACUCUGGAUAACCUCAUCCCAACACAGUUUUAAGUGCUCUGUGUGCAAUUAAAUCGAUCCCCUUCUCUGGGUCCUACUUUUUCAGCUUUAUAGAAAGGAUCAGUGGGAGACCCUUCUUCUCCACAAUUUCCCAUGAUCCUAAGUUAAUAGAGACUUUCCAGCCACUUUUCUGCACAAAGCUCCGGCACACCAGUUACAUCUGCCUGGUGAUUUUAGAUUCUUCUUUUAAUGAUAUGCCAGGUGACACCUUCUACUUUCACCCAUCUCUGCACUAGCCUGCAAAAAGGGCCAAAGUAAAUGACAGCAAGUCUUGCACAACAAACCAAAACAACACAAAUGUCUACUGCUCACAGUAUGGCACCUUCCCUUGGCUUUGCAAUCUCUGCUGGCCAACAUGCUUGGUUCAAUUGCAAAGGAAAAGGACAGCCAAAGGACAGCCAACUGCAUCCUGGUAGGGCAGGGGCACCAGAGCUGACUCCGGCCAAUGCCCAAGUUGUAAACUAGCCACCCACUUGGCUGUGGUUAACAGGCCUUGGCUUACAUUUCCUUAAGAGUGGAUGGAAGGGUCUUUUGUGUUGUUUUUCUCUGAUUUCCUGCCUCUUCUUUCUUCUGGAAGAAAUUGAAACAAAAUCUGUUCAGAAUCCAAAGGCAAUGGUCUUUGUUGGCUGGCACAGGCGGCUCUCUCUUUCCUGGCUCUCCUGUCACUCAUUGUACUGCUCUGUGUUUUGCUUUGUUUUUUUAACCCUGAAAGUACUUACGACUCUGGCUCUGCCUACCUAAACUUUCACGGGGUGUCAAACACCUCUACUCCUUGCCUACAAUUUUGUUAAUGCUUUAUGACUAGCUAGCUGGCUUUGAGUCCAGAGGCAGGAAGCUAACUCUAACUAAGUGUCUAUUUGUGUCAGCCCCUUUAGAUGAGACCAGUGUUGUCAGCCAUCAUGUGAUAGAAGUCUUACUAUUACUAUUAUUAUUCCCACUUUACAGAAGGAAAACCUUCAGCUCUACCUUUCACAGAUGGCUUACAUUGCCUUACUUCAAGGCUCAAAAUGGGUCUGCAGGUAUCUGUGUCAUUAGACAGUCUUGUAGUUGAGAGGAGGACCUUUUAAACAAGGCCAGUAGGCAUAAACAACAACAAAAACAAACAACAUGGCCAGGCGUGGUAACUCAAGCCUAUAAUUCCAGCACUUUUGGAGGCCAAGGCAGGUGGAUCAUGAGGUCAGGAGUUCGAGACCAACCUGGCCAAGAUGGUGAAACCCAAUCUCUACUAAAAAUACAAAAAUUAGCCAGGUGCAGUGGCGGGUGCCUGUAAUCCCAGCUACUUGGGAGGCUGAGGCAGGAGAAUUGCUC